rnacentral:rRNA from 1 species
UACAGAGGUCUCAAGCGUUGUUCGGAUUUAUUGGGCGUAAAGGGUGCGUAGGCGGCGCGGUAAGUCGGGUGUGAAAUUUCGAGGCUUAACUUCGAAACUGCAUUCGAUACUGCCGUGCUAGAGGACUGGAGAGGAGACUGGAAUUUACGGUGUAGCGGUGAAAUGCGUAGAUAUCGUAAGGAAGACCAGUGGCGAAGGCGGGUCUCUGGACAGUUCCUGACGCUGAGGCGCGAAGGCCAGGGGAGCAAACGGG